GUGGGGAAUAUUGGACAAUGGGCGAAAGCCUGAUCCAGCCAUGCCGCGUGUGUGAAGAAGGUCUUCGGAUUGUAAAGCACUUUAAGUUGGGAGGAAGGGCAGUAAGUUAAUACCUUGCUGUUUUGACGUUACCGACAGAAUAAGCACCGGCUAACUUCGUGCCAGCAGCCGCGGUAAUACGAAGGGUGCAAGCGUUAAUCGGAAUUACUGGGCGUAAAGCGCGCGUAGGUGGUUCAGUAAGUUGGAAGUGAAAUCCCCGGGCUCAACCUGGGAACUGCUUUCAAAACUGCUGAGCUAGAGUACGGUAGAGGGUGGUGGAAUUUCCUGUGUAGCGGUGAAAUGUGUAGAUAUAGGAAGGAACACCAGUGGCGAAGGCGACCACCUGGACUGAUACUGACACUGAGGUGCGAAAGCGUGGGGAGCAAACAGGAUUAGAAACCCUAGUAGUCC
rnacentral:rRNA from 1 species